rnacentral:rRNA from 1 species
AGAGUUUGAUCAUGGCUCAGGACAAACGCUGGCGGCGUGCGUAACACAUGCAAGUCGAGCGGGCGCGCUUUCGGGCGCGUCAGCGGCGGACGGGUGAGUAACACGUGAAUCACCAACCCUCCAGUGGGGGAUACCCGGCGGAAACGCUGGUUAAGCCCGCAUACGCUCUCAACGAGAGGAAAGCGGCAACGCGCUGGUGG